AUGCUGAAUGCGGUUGUUGCGAUGCUAAUUAACUACAAUUUGUUCUUUAACUUGAAUAAUGGUAUCUGUAAUGGUGCUUUCCGAUACUGUUUUGUUGCGGUCACGGACCGUUUCUUUAAGCCUUUUAAUUACGUUCUUAAUGUCACAUUUGCUUCCUUACUCCGACAAUUUUUUUUUUUGUUGAUAUUUGGUUAUUUGUGUUUACCCUCGUCUCAAUUGUGUUGUGUUAUUUAUUCUGAAAUGAAUCCUUACAUUUCUUUUUGUUUAUUUUCAUUGGUUAGGAUCCAUAUUUACUUUCGAUUUAAGGACUUUUAG